AGGCGGGGGGUGCGUCUUCACACACCUGGGCAACAGGAUGCUUGUUGUCCACCAGUUGGUCUUUACCUCCUUUUAAGUGAAUGAUUUUUAUCUGGACUCUUAGCUGACUGGAAUAAAGGUUCCAUUUCCCAGCCUCUCCUGUGGCCGGGUGUGGCCGUACCGUUUACUUUUGGCUGGUAGGAUGUUAGCAGAAGCCUGUGUGUGUAGCUUCCACACUGUGUCCUUAAGUGGACUAGAAGAUGCCUUUCUUCUCUCUUUUUCCCUUCCUACUGACUGGAAGACAGGUGCGAUGACGGGGGCUUUGGCAAUCACUUUGAGCAUGAAGUCACCUUGGGAAUGGAGAUUGCACGUGGUGGUGUAGCGUAGAGGAGUCUGCUUCUCUGCCCCCAUGGAUUAUUUAGCACCCUUAUCUCCGGACUUCAUGAACAUGAGAGAGAGACAAUUUUUGUUUUUGUUUAAGUCGCUCUUAUUUGGGAAUUUUAUAGUUUUGACAGCUGAUACUUAUUCUGGUUUACACUCUCAUAUACCGUUUGUGAAGGUAAAACUCUCCACUCCCUAGAGAAAUAAUCAAGGUCUACACCAUUUGGUACUUCCAUGGUUUGUGCAUCCUGUGCAAUGGCCUCUCUUCUCAGCCCAACUUCUGCUGGUUCAGCAGCAAAAAGGGUGAAUUGUGAUCUCUGAGACAACUGGCUUAGAGAGGGGCAAUGUAUAUAUAGGGGUGAGUUUUGGCCAGUGGGAAAGAGUGGAAGGGCUUCUGUUUUGCCUUAUGGUUUACUCUCUCUUUAGAUGUCCAAGGUUAAAGUUACCUCAUCAUAACAAGGAUUAAUUUCCUUCCAACUGUAGCCAUUUGAUUAUUGUGAAAAGCUCAUAUUCCUCUCAUGUACAUACAUUUGACACUAUUUUAUGUAAACUUGUGCCGAGGCCCUUUUAUGUUGUGGGGUGGGGGGGAAUACCCUUUUUGUCCUGGGUCACACUGCCAAGCCGUAUUACCUUAACUGACAAUGAAGGACUUCUGCCCAAAUGCCUUUCCUGUCCUUAGGGUAAGGGCUGGGGAUAGAAGAAAUUUUACUUCCAUUGCCCUCCAAAUUUGGGGCAUGCUGGGCAAAGACCGGGAGGCAGGACGUGGAAGUGGGGAAAGAAGAGGGAAAAAUCAGAAGGAGUAGCAGGGGUGGGAGGUGCCCACACCCCACUGUAGAAGACAAGGUCUAAGGGGGCUUGUCUUCGUGAUCUUUGCCCCCUGGUAUUCAUGCCCUUAUCCCUUCCCUUGAGUGUAGACAGACCCAGUGGCUUGCCUCUAAUCCAUAGGACACAGCAAAGGUAAUUAGACCAAGAUGACAUGUAGGUGAUCACAGUAUAUACAACUGUAAUUCCCACUUUGCAGGGAGACCCCUUCCUUUGCUGCCUUUGAAGAAGAGAAUUGCCAUUGUCGUGAGCUGUCUGUGGAGGAUGUGUUAUGGCAGGAAGCUGAGUCAACAGGAAGCCAAAGUGCUCUGUCCUUCUACUGCAAGACAUUAAAUGCUGCAGCAACCUGAAUGAACUCAGGAGUGGAUCCUUCACUAGUCGAGCCCCAUAUGAGACUGCAGCCCAAUCCACACUUUGAUCAGAGCCUGGGAGACACUGGACAAGGGACCCAACUAAGUUGUUCCUGGACUCUUAACAUAUCAAAACUGUGAGAUAAUGAAUGUGUGCUGUCUUAAGCUAGUAAUUUUGCAGUAAUAACUGCUAUACAACAAUAGGUAAUUGAUACAUCUAUAAUAAGGAAUUUGGCUUUAGAAAGGAAAAGAAAAUGCAAACUCUUUUGAUGAAGGCUUUUCAGACCAAGAUAAUUAUACUCUGGAAGACUGGAGAUAGAAACACAGCAGAUGAGGACAAAGAUUAGCCUUACGCUGUCCUGAAUAUUUUUAAGUAGGAAGGAAUAGGCUGAAUGGCCACAAAGAAUGCUGGAAGUUCAGCAGUCCAGAGACAAAAGUAACUAGAAAUGGAAAGGAAACUAACAGUGGGAAUUAGCAAGGAACAUGGUGUAUAAAGAUUUGUGACAGAGGGGUGUCUGGGUGGCUCAGCUGGUUAAGCGUCCAGCUUCGGCUCAGGUCAUGAUCUCACGGUUUGUGGGUUCAAGCUCAGUGUCAGGCUCUGUGCUGAUAGCUCAGAGCCUGGAGCCAUCCUCGGAUUCUGUGUGUCCCUCUCUUUCUGCCCCUCCCCUGCUCACACUCUGUCUGUCUCUGUCUCCCAAAAAUGAAUAAACGUUAAAAAAAUUUUUUUUUUAAGAUUUGUGACACAGAGAGGGAACAGUUGGUCUCUUUUAGGAUAGAAGGAUUGAAGCAAAUGCAAAAAGAACACUAUAUUUUACAAAAGUGACCAACAUUGGGGUUUGGGUCACAGUGCUGGAGAAAGUGGAGGUGGUAGUGACAGGUUGAGGAGUGUCUGCCCUCAGAUUGUGGGUGGCAGGGCAGAGGAGCAUUUCUGAGAAAGGAUUGCUUCAGGGGGCAGAGCAGUUAGAGGGACUCAUGGUCUGCCCCCAUGGGCUCUGGGUUGGAAAGCCUGUGUCUGAGUCCCAGAUCCGUGGACAUAAUCUGUGUCACUUUGGCCAAAUGACUUCAUCUCUCCAAGCCUUGGUUUCCACAUAUGUAAAGCAGGACUCAUUAUAAGAUUGGUCUCACUGGAUUAUUAUGCCCUGUCAGUGAGGUAAGGCACCAGAAGGGUCCAUCGUGGCACAUGAUAAAGUCCUAAUCAGUGAUAGCUUUAAAAAAAAUAGGGACUGUUUUUUUCCUUUCUUUAUUUCUUGCGUUUCUUAAAUUCCACAUAGGAGUAUGUUAAUUAUACUUUAAUUACAAAAAUAAAUAAGUACAUAAUUUUUAAAAAUGACUGGAUGAGAAGUUCUAAGAUUCGGUCAAGUUCAGGCUUUCCAAAGUACUUGUAGUGUUUGGAAGCAAAUGGUAUCCCCUUUUUGAACUAAGGUGGCCCAUGAGGGGGUCGUGAUUAUUCCAACCAGUGAUUUUUCUUCCUUGGCUAUGUAUUGAAAUUACGUGGGAGACUUACAACAUAUUGAUGCUAAGGACCCCACCUCUAGAGAUUCUGGUUUAAUUGGUCCGGGGUAUGGUCUGAGCAUGAGGAUGUUGAAAACUCUCCCAGAUGAUGCUAAUGUGUAGCCAAGCUUGAGAAUCACUGCUUUAUUCCUACAGUCAUUCCUUAAUGGCUGCCUCUGAUUGUCUUAGGUGUUCUGGUUUCGUUUGCCCAGCGAGAUGGCAAGAUUCUGUGAAUUCACCUCUGAGUUAUGUUUUAUUACCUGGCAGAGUAAGAGGCACAGGGGACAGGAGGUCAAAAGGCUUGGAUUCUCAAUCUGUUUUUUCCUAACUGGCCAUGGGAUCCUAGGUCAUAAUAAGAUUAAACUUGUACCAUGCCCAGACACUAUUCCCAGUGCAUUUUCAUGUACUCGUUCAUUUAUCCUAUCAGCCUGAUGAGAUGGGUUCUAUUAUUAGCCUCAGAGCUAAUAAUAACACAGAGAAGUUAGUUCAAGACCACACUGCUGUGUAUCUGCCUGCGAACCCAAGGCCUAAGUGCCCACAUGAACCACUCCACACUCUUGGGCUGAUACCAAGGUGCUCGUGAUUUUAUUCACCCCUAAGUGGAGGAGCUGGACUGUCCCUGAGUCCCUCCCAGCUCUGAUGUUCUGCUGCCCCCACCGGCACCUAGCAGAGAUAUCGCACAGCGGGUGGUCCGGUGCUACUCGGCCACGGACUGAUGGCUAAAUCAAGGAAUUGAGAUCAGACCAGAAUGGGUGCAACAGAACAAGGCGGGCAGACCCGUGCAAGUCGUGACCUAGGAGAAUGUCUCCGCUCAGAAAAGUGAUCAGGCUAAAGGGAAAAUGUUACAUGAUCCACUGUGCAUUCCUUUAUGUGUUUGGCCCUCUGUUUUGCCAAGCAAACGAGUGUGGGGAGAUGUGUUAAAGUCAGCAGAGGCUAGUUUAGCCUAAGAUGUUGAAAGGUGAAUUUCCUUACAUGGAAAAUGGUCGGGAAUUUGGGGGAAUAGAGUCUAACAACAGCAAAGAAGCAAGGACAAAGUCUCUUGAGCGGGUGUGGCCAAAAGAGUACAAAAUACUAAUGGGUGACUGGAAUUUUCCAUGGCUGCUGGAUCUUGGGAUGAUAAAGUCUGUUGUUCAAUUUUAAGUUGAUGCCUAUGCCAUUCCGUGUGGUCAUGCCCUUUGUUAGCACUAAACUAUCCAGAAAGCCUGUCACACACACAGUCUUUUGUGAGUGGUGCUUUGAGGGAAUGAAGGAAUAGGGACGGUGUGGACCAUGGAGAAAAACGGGGAAGAUGGAUGAUGGCGGCAGGAGAUAACACAGAGGGUAGAAAGAAGAAGUCCAGGGAAAGCAAGAAGAGGUGUCAGUGGAAAUGCAGGUCCUUAGGAAUCCUCAGAUAUAUUGGGUGAACACUUAAAGAAAUGCAGUUGACCAUAUCAAAGGACAGGAAGACCCUAGAGUCUGAGGGACUGGGACCCCCAAGGGGCUGACAUGUAGGUUAUUCAAGGUAAAAUGAGGUUAAGAUAGAAGACGGUAACCUGCAGAGUGUGAUUUCCCCCGUGAAGCCCAGUAAUAAAAUGGAAACCCCUUAAUCUACACAGAUUUUGAGAAAAAGAAGAAAGGUGAGGUAGCGUCUCCCAGAGGCUACAGCCAGGCAGGGGUUAGAAGAUGCGCUCGUCGUCAGACAAUCCUAGGGUCCUGCAUAUGUCCCGAAAGGGGUCCUCGAUUCUGAGGAAAGCUGGAAUUAGGAGGAUUUUCAAAGACGGCUGUCUGGGCCCACUGCCGAGAGAAAGGCUGGUGUAGCUGGUCCCAGAGGUGACCUGGGUGGGGUACUUUCAAAGCUCCUCAGGGGUUUUGAUGUGAUAGCCAAGACUGGAAACCACUGUCCUGUCCAGAGAGCAAUGUGGGAAGCACGCACCUGGGGCCAGGAGGCGGCUGGCAGUUCCACCGAAAGCUGAAAGCUUGUGUGUUCCUACAUUUCUUAGUGUUAAACUUAUUUUGUGGUGAUCACACUGUAUUAGGUAGCAUUAGGAAGUUAGCAUUAGGAACUUCAGGUGUGAAUAAAUACCCAGAAUAAUAAAUAUGGCUUUCCUUGCAUAAAAUCCUGGCAGGAACUUCCCCAGACAGAAAAUCUGCAGACAACGGAUCUCGGUGGCUGGAAGGUGCCUUUGGAUCUCUUGGCAUUUAGAUGAAAGAGGCUGAACACGAUGUGAUCAGCUCAGAGACCUGGGGACGCUCCAGCUCUCCUCAAAUAUCAACCCCUCCCCCUCCCCCACACACUAUUAGAAGUGAUCUAGUUUAAUCUCUGAUGUUCUAGAAUUUAAAACAAAAACAAAGAAACAACAAAAAAACUAAGAAGUGAAGUAAGUGUCUAGGCCAGGAAACCCAGCCAAAGGGGGUUUGGAAUCUUUGAACAACCAUCCCAAUGCUUUUUCCCUUAAACCUCUCCGUCCUUCAAAUGCAAGGGAUUAUGUGUAGGCGCCCUUAGGACAAGUAAUCUGACAUAAAUUCAUACUCAAGUGUACAUACCUAACAUAAAAUAUUUUGGGGGGGUGCCUGGGUGGCUCAGUUGGUUGAGCGGCCAACUUCGGCUCAGGUCAUGAUCUCGGAGUUCGAGCGCCGCUUCGGGCUCUGUGCUGAUAGCUCGGAGCCUGGAACCCACUUUGAGUUCUGGGUCUCCCUCUCUCUGUGCCCCUCCCCUGUUCACUCUGUCUGUCUGUCUGUCUGUCUCUCAAAUAUAAACAUUUUUUUAAAUUAAAAAAUAAAAGUACUUUCUUUCUGCAGGUUGUAAUAACCAGGUGAAUACAUAAAAAUGAGGAGCCUGAACAUGGAGAGUUAAGUGUCAAGACUGAUGGGAAAGGUCAAAGAAAGGGGGGUGAGCAGGGGGAGGACAGAGCCGACUUCACAACCUAGCCUAGUGUUGGGCCUCCAGAACCAAACACCAGGACCUGGACCCGCCCAGGACACUGCAAAAGGGAGAAGGAUGACUUAUGUUAAUGAGUGACACAUUUUAAAUGAUCAAGUGUCAAAAACCUCCCACUCACCCGGAGCUUAGAGGAAGCCCCUGAAGGCUACCCCAAGUGACUCAAUCCCAUUACUAAGAAUCACUUGCAGUAGGGCUAUUUCUGCUGCAUCCAAGAGGUUUUCAGUUACCUUCAGAGUCAACAGGAAAUUAAUCAGCAAGUAGAAUAUUGAAAGAAGAUCUGCAUCUCAGAGUCAUUAAAAUAAAAGCAGAUUUGGUCAAAUGGCAAGGUGCUUUUUUUUUUUUUUUUAAUCUCCUCCCCUCUGUUUUUAGUAAGUUGAAGAUUCUGAAACUUAAAUCCUGACCACCAGAGUCUCCUUGGAGGACAGGUACAUACUGUCCUAGGACCUACACCCCCACAAAACACACCAGCCCCGUCACCAUCCAAAUAGCUCUCCCCUUGCUUUCUCGAAAAGCCCCUGGAAACCUGACCACGUUGCCACACAGUCUAUUUAAAACUUCCUGAACACAUCUCGGGCCACAUCCCUGUCCUGUAUUGUUUGAUUUGCGUCUCCCCUCUAAGCUCUUGGGGGAAAGAGCCUUUUUUUUUCCCUUGUUUUGGAAUGAUUUUUAUUUAUUAUUAUAAGCCUGGGUGGAGAAUGUACUUCCUUGCUUAUCACACAGUUUAGUAGAAAUAUUAAAUAAUAAUAAUAGCUGGAUGCCGCAGAGAACACGAAACUCUGCCUAUCACGUAACCUUUGCUCUGCCAUCCGGAGUAUCUGAGGAAGCAGCUUCUCUGUCUUCCUUAUUACGAAAAGUAGAGAACCAGAGACCCUAAAUUCGAAAAGUGAUAUAUGGAAGGAUGGCAAGAAAAGUUUUCUCGUUCUCCUCUACUAGCUUCUGACUUACUGAUCUUAAAAAGUUCCCCUCUCCACCUGCCCCAAGGUGAUGGUCAAGUGGACAGACAGGAAGUCGAAUGAGUUUCCUAUGGGAUCCUAGUUAAGACCCUCGGGGUUGCAAAUAACAGAAACCAGCUCCAGUCGGCAUAAGCAAGUAGGAAGUUUAUUAGAGAAACCUUUGGGGUUUCUCACAGAACCCACAGGCAGUUCUCAGGGGCCUGCCAGGAAGUUCAGGCCUUGUUCUUUUGCUCUCUCGCUCUCUCUGUCUCUCUGCCUCUUAUCUUUGCUUCCUGGCCUCAUACUAAAUGUGAGAUUUAUGAAAGCAGGGAUUUUAUCUGGUUUGUUUCCUGCAGGCUCACCCACGCCUAGAACAGUGCCUGACAUAUGGUAUUUGCUCAGUCAGCAUUAAUCUGUGUACUUCUCAGCAAAGCAGCUUCCCGUGUCCCUCUGUGGGCAUGUUGAAGGCCGUCGGUGCACUAUACCCAAACUCCCAAAUUUGAAAUUCAGGCUUAUGAAUUCAAGUGUCCACCCCUGGUCCGUCUAGUCUGGCCAGAGGAUGGUGUUUUCUGCAAAUAGGAUCGGAGCUGAAAUGCUGUUUGCAUGAAAAGGGUCUUGGAGUUGGGCAGAUAGCAUCACACGUGUUUUCAACACUUAGGCAGGUACCCGUCAUCAGUGCAGAUAGUUUGUGGGAAGUGGGUACGCUCUGCUUCCCGAACAGAUCUAUCUUUUGCUGAAUAGCCAAGCAGAGGGAGCUCUGUAGCGUGAAACUUCCUUGCAACUUUGCUGAUAUUUUGUCAGCUAGUUUCUCUGUAGACAUCUCCAGGGAUUAAAAAAAAAAAAAAAAAGGCACUAUUUCUUAAGAGUUGUUUACUCCAUUUUAAAGCAAAUCUAAUUUUUUAGGAGAUCUGCCCGUGCAUGUUAUCUGUCUGACUUCAACCUCCUUUGGUCCUAGCUGUGUUUUUUAGGAUCACAGAGGGUUUUUCUUCUGUGACAAUCCUUAAACAACUCUUUGAAGAAAAUUAUCAUGUUAUUCUGGAGUCCUUUCCUUGGGGUAACCUGUCUGUCUGCAUGCUGCCUGCACGUUCGCUGUAGUGUGUCUACGAUUGCUUUUCUCUGAUUCCUUAAAGCAAUAGAAACAGCGGCUCAGUUGUGGUUGGAAGCUGGGCCUCUGAGACAUUGCACUGCGUGAUCUUGGUAACCUCCCCCCUCACAAAAAAAAGACAGAUUUCAUGGGAUCUUUUCAGGUACCCUUUGCAGAUACAACAGUCUUCAUCGGUGGUGACCUCUGGUUUGAGGAACACAGUGCUGCCUGCUGGGUGGACGGCUAAAGGAGUUAACGUGUAUCAGCUGGUUACUCUGGACCGUUGAAGACCUAAUUGGUACCCCAUAGCUAUCCCCAAGCUAAUGGUGUAUUUAUUAAAUUUGUAUAAUUAGUAUCUUUUAUAUCUUCUCUUUUUGAGACAAAAUACACUCUCUUCUGUUUUUUGUCUUUUUUGUACAAAACACACAUAAAGUGGUUUUGUUUUUGUUUUGUUUUGUUACACUUCAUCAUACCCUGGAACAAACACUUUGAGAGCAUUGAAUAUGUGUAAGGAAAUAUACUAGUUGUGGAGAUAACAGACGAAAGACCGGAUUUCUACCUUCAAAGAAUUCCUAAUGAAACAAGGAUGGAAAGCUGAGUACACAGAGGACUGUAGCCUAGGACGAGUGCUGUGACGGAGGCAUGGAUAAGAACCAUGAGCAUAUAGCAGGAGACGCACUCAACAGGAGUUGGGCAGAAGCUUGGAGAAGGGAGCCCUGGGGAACGCUGCCUGACAAAGGCUGUGCCUGAGAUGGGCCUCCAAGGAUGAGGAGGAAUCAGCCAGGGGAAGGAUGGGGGAGGGAGGAGCUGGGUAAACCAGGCAGAAGUUUUGCAUUUGUAAAGCUGUGGAGCAGACGGUAUGGUCUGGUAGGAGCAUAGCGGAAGCAAAGGAUAUGAGCUCCAGAGAGCAAGACGGAUCGAGCAGGACAGCUCCGUGUGGCCCAUAACCACCGGCUAGUGCUGUGGAGCAAACCAACCCUAAAGCCAGUGACUUCAGACAAUAAGCUGUUGGUACUAUUCAAGCGCCAACAGAUCAGCUGGGACGUUCUGCCCAACAGGGCCAGGGCUGUCCGAUCUCCACUGGGCUUGUUCACAUGUCAGUGGUCAGGUGGCCGAUUGGAGGCUGGCUGGUCUUGGGUGGCCUCAGUCACCUGCCCACAGUGUGUUGGCCGUCGGCUGGGUGUUGAGGUGGUGUGGUGUGUUUCUUAUCACACAGCAGGACAGCCUGGGAUUGGCACACAGUGGUGGCCCAGAGGAAGUGGAAACAUACUCGGCUGCAUAAGACCUAGGCUUGGAUCUGUCAUACCAUCACUUCUGCUCCGUGUUAUUAGCCAGAGCUAGUCACUAGACACUGCCCCCACCCCCCGCCCCAUUCAAGGAACAGGGACAUCUCUUGAUGGAAGAUGCUGCAAGGUCUUGGUGCAAAGAAUGUAUGUAUAGGAAGAGGUGAGUAAGUAUAGCCAUUUUUUGCAGCCAAUUCAGCACAAAGCUUAGAUCAUGGCAAUUUCCCUUGACAAAGAUGGGGAAACAUCAGGAGGAUAUUUUAUUAUGAAAAUUUUUAUUAAAGUCAUUCUUUUAAUUAAAUUUUAUAUAAAAUUCUAUUAAAACAUUGUAUUAUGAAAAUACUGAAAAUUUUAAGGCUUCAUUUCGAUUUACAUGCAACAUUAAAGCACAUUCUCCUUUAAAAAAAGAAAAAGGAUAGGGGUGCCUGGGUGGCUCAGUAGGUUAAACAUCCGACUCUUGCUUGUGGCUCAGGUCAUGAUCUCAUGGUUCAUGAGAUCAAGCUCCACACUGAACUCUGUGCUGACAGCAUGGAGCCUGCUUGGGAUUCUGUCUCUCCCUCUCUCUUUUUCCCCCUCCUCCAUUUGUUCUCUCUCUUUCUCUCUCUCUCUCUCUC